rnacentral:rRNA from 1 species
UACGUAGGGCGCAAGCGUUGUCCGGAAUUAUUGGGCGUAAAGAGCUCGUAGGCGGCCAGUUGCGUCCGCUGUGAAAUCCCGGGGCUUAACCCCGGGCGUGCAGUGGAUACGGGCUGGCUAGAGGCAGGCAGGGGAGAACGGAAUUCCCGGUGUAGCGGUGGAAUGCGCAGAUAUCAGGAGGAACACCAAUGGCGAAGGCAGAUCUCUGGGCCGUAACUGACGCUGAGGAGCGAAAGCAUGGGGAGCGAACAGG